GCCAGUUUCAACGCGCUGACAUUAAUAUAACAGUGGUGAAAGACUACGUGGAUGAAGGUCUUCAUCGAGUUAAGAAGGAACAAAUUCUGGCCAGAGGGAUCCUGAGGUGGGGAUCAGAGCAAAUGCCAGUUACCCUGCAAGACAAGACGCUGAAGGACUCGGUGCAAAAACGCCACCGAAGCAGCUGCUGGGUGGUGCCCAAGACAGAGAUAGAGAGACUACUGGGUCAUUCGUAUGAGAGCUACGUGGUGAAUCAUGUGUAAUUCUAGCCGAGUCAUUUCCACCAUGUUGUCUGUUUGCUGCACAGCUCAAGUCACAGCAGGUAAUGUGGAUAGGUUAUCACAAAAGGAUGAACCAAAGCUGGGAUCCAACUGGGUUAGUUGCCUGAAUGGUAUUCUGGAAGGGUGGGACAGAUUACAGACUGCAAAGAAAAGUUUCCUGUAAAGAAGUAAAUACAGCAAAGGAUUGAAUGGUGCCCCUGUUCCAUCUCCACCACUGAAUUUGAACCAGAUUCAAGCUUCGUAUCUAUGACAGAGACGCAAUGUACUCCUGGUCGCAUGGCAACUACAAAAUAUCCAAUGGUUGCUGCAGCAGUUUGCGCAUGCUCCAAAAUGUCUUGCAAAACAACCCUGUUUACAAGUUGUUUAUCAGAUUAUUCUUAUAUUUUAUGAUUGAAUUUUUGAUAGUCAAAAGCUAUCUUUCAGAAUUACUUGUAAUCAUAGUGUAAUUCAAUAAGUUGUAUUUUUAGUACAAGUGUAUAUAAAACAUUAAUGUAUGUAUUUGUGUAUAGAUAAACUUCCCGUGUCAGCAUUGCAUCUUUAAUAAGCAACACAAAUCAGCCUUUUCCAGGUUUGCCAUGUGCUUUUUAUUUUUCUGUCAUUUCAUUCAUAGUUUAAUUCAUUUUAUUUGUUACACAAGACAUUAGGCAUUGUUCACAUACUAGUGAUCAAACAAGGACAGUAAGUUUUCUACUACUCAGUCUAUUUCUUUUGUCAAUUUCAAGGGAUAUUUGUCAAUAGUGGUUUUCAAAGGCCAUACUAAACAGUAC
ensembl:lncRNA